rnacentral:rRNA from 1 species
UUCUUUUUAUACCUUCAUCUUCACUUAACCCCUUCUUAACAAAGAGCAAUUCUAUACCUCUAUAGAAAAUUUUAUGUUAAAACUAGUAAUAAGAAGCUAGCCCUUCUCUUUAAUGCAAACUUAUAUCAGCCAGGACACCCCACUGAUUAUUAACGUCCCUAAAACCAUUGUAAUAACUAAUCAAGAAAAUAUUACCUUCUCUUACGUUAACCUAACACAAGAGCAUUUUAAGAAAGAUUAAAAGAAAAAGAAGGAACUCGGCAAAUUUUAGCCUCGCCUGUUUACCAAAAACAUCGCCUCUUGAAUAUUAAUAAGAGGUCAUGCCUGCCCAGUGACUCUGUUCAACGGCCGCGGUAUCCUAACCGUGCGAAGGUAGCGUAAUCACUUGUUCUUUAAAUGAGGACUAGUAUGAAUGGCCCCACGAAGGCUACACUGUCUCCUUUUUCUAAUCAAUGAAACUAAUCUUCUCGUGAAGAAGCGAGAAUAAUUUUAUAAGACGAGAAGACCCUAUGGAGCUUUAAACAACUGAAAUAUUUGCUUUAACUUUAUAUUCUUCCCGAGUUUUUCCCGCAUUCAAGCAUUUUAAUUUCUAGUUUUAGGUUGGGGUGACCACGGAGCAAAAUUUAACCUCCAUGACGAAUAAAGCAUUUUCCUUUAAACUAAAAGCUACUACUUUAAGCAUCAACAAAUUGACUUUCAUUGACCCAAUAUUUUGAUCAACGAACCAAGUUACCCUAGGGAUAACAGCGCAAUCUACUUCGAGAGCUCAUAUCGACAAGUAGGUUUACGACCUCGAUGUUGGAUCAGGGUAUCCUAGUGGUGCAGCCGCUACUAAAGGUUCGUUUGUUCAACGAUUAAAACCCUACGUGA